GAUGAACGCUGGCGGCGUGCCUAAUACAUGCAAGUCGAGCGAACAGACGAGGAGCUUGCUCCUCUGACGUUAGCGGCGGACGGGUGAGUAACACGUGGGUAACCUACCUAUAAGACUGGGAUAACUUCGGGAAACCGGAUCUAAUACCGGAUAAUAUAUUGAACCGCAUGGUUCAAUAGUGAAAGACGGUUUUGCUGUCACUUAUAGAUGGAUCCGCGCCGCUUUAGCUAGUUGGUAAGGUAACGGCUUACCAAGGCAACGAUGCGUAGCCGACCUGAGAGGGUGAUCGGCCACACUGGGACUGAGACACGGCCCAGACUCCUACGGGAGGCAGCAGUAGGGAAUCCUGCGCAAUGGGCGAAAGCCUGACGGAGCAACGCCGCGUGAGUGAUGAAGGUCUUCGGAUCGUAAAACUCUGUUGUUAGGGAAGAACAAAUGUGUAAGUAACUAUGCACGUCUUGACGGUACCUAAAGAGAAAGCCACGGCUAACUACGUG
rnacentral:rRNA from 1 species